CAACCCUCAAGCCCCCUGUGGACUUGGUGUUGGGGACCGGCGGCCGCGUCUUCUCGCAGCCGCCGCCCCCUAAAUGAAUUGGCGGCCCCGUCGCGGCCCUCCUCUGCGUAGUAGCACACACCUCGCAACAGGAGCCCGACGAAGGCCACUGCCGUAAAACCCCCCAACUUUUUUAG
rnacentral:misc_RNA from 1 species